UUGGUAUUGAAAGCUUUUAAUUUGUAUGGCAGUUCUCAUGUAACGGUUAUUAUACAAAUUAUUUCCCAUGUCUUGGCCUACACCAACUCCUGCAUAAAUCCCAUUUUAUAUGCCUUUUUAUCCGACAACUUUCGCAAGGCAUUUAGAAAGAUUGUCUGGUGCGGUAGUCCUCCACCCAUUAUAACAAAUCAACAAGUUACUAAAACAACGCGCACGGCAACCGGAAAUGGCACUUCAAACAUUGAUAUGCUGUAGAUAAACACUCAACAACUACAAUAUUCUAGCAGCAAUAGCAACCAUAACUACAACAUUAACAACAACAACAGCGGCUGCAGCAUUGACAACUAUAUAGGACGAUGACGGUGUAGACAAGGACUAUGAAAACAAGGACUACAACGAGGACGUUUUUAAAACAGAUUGCAAUUGUACAUUAGACAAACAGGUCAUAGAAGGAAACAAUAAAAACGUAACGGAAAAGUAAUUCAAUGGAAAAAAGAGACUCAAGUGUUAGCAACGCCACAGCUACGAACUACUAAAACCAUCUCUACCCAGACAAUGAUCACCAUCACGACGACUUUUAAUUGUAGCCUCAUGAACGAGGAAAAAAGGAAACCAAUAAAAAAAACACCAGCCAACACCGCCAACCAAAUCCAACAAUUUCCACAAGGAUGUGGAUUGAUUGUGUUGUGAGUGUGUGUGUGUGUUGGCUUGUAUGGCGGCAGAGGGUGUUAAAAGACCACAGACUUUAAAUUAAAAUACAAUUUUCAAAGGUUUCCUAAAAACCCGACCACAAAACGAAAAUUAAGCCAACAAUUAAAUUGCAAAAGAGAACAAAAACGAAUGAAGAAAUAUAUUCCUAAAAAUUAAAAAAAAAUAUUUGUAAAAUAGUAAAAUAAAUUAUAUAAGACAGGUUUUCAUUAAGAAUUGUUAUGAAUUUAAAAAAUAUAAAAAAAAACGUUAUUUUUAAUUUAACACUUUUUUUCCUAGAAUUUGGCCUAAUUUUUAAACAAUUUACAAAUUGUAGUUAUAAUAAAUAUAUUUACAGAGUAAAAUUUAAUUAUAAAAUUUAUAAAAAAAAAACAAAAAAACCAACAAACUUAAUUAAGUAUGAAAUAAUAAUUAUAUUUGACCAGCCAUUUAACCCACAAUAAACAAUUUUAAAUUGUAUUGUGAUAAAAUGGUGUUUGGUGGCAAAUUGUGUUAAAAAAAUGAGGAAAAAAUCUUAAUAAUAAAACAAAAAUAAAUAAAUUUAAAAUUUUAGAAAUAUA